rnacentral:rRNA from 1 species
GAUGAACGCUGGCGGCGUGCCUAGUACAUGCAAGUCGAGCGAACAGACGAGGAGCUUGCUCCUUCGACGUUAGCGGCGGACGGGUGAGUAACACGUGGAUAACCUACCUAUAAGACUGGGAUAACUUCGGGAAACCGGAGCUAAUACCGGAUAAUAUUUCGAACCGCAUGGUUCAAUAGUGAAAGAUGGCUUUGCUAUCACUUAUAGAUGGACCUGCGCCGCAUUAGCUAGUUGGUAAGGUAACGGCUUACCAAGGCAACGAUGCGUAGCCGACCUGAGAGGGUGAUCGGCCACACUGGAACUGAGACACGGUCCAGACUCCUACGGGAGGCAGCAGUAGGGAAUCUUCCGCAAUGGGCGAAAGCCUGACGGAGCAACGCCGCGUGAGUGAUGAAGGUCUUCGGAUCGUAAAACUCUGUUAUUAGGGAAGAACAAACGUGUAAGUAACUGUGCACGUCUUGACGGUACCUAAUCAGAAAGCCACGGCUAACUACGUG